rnacentral:tRNA from 1 species
GGGGGCUGUAGCUCAGUGGUAGAGCACAUGUUUUGCAUGCAAAAGGUCCCAGGUUCAAUCCCUGGCAUUUCCA